rnacentral:rRNA from 1 species
AGAGUUUGAUCAUGGCUCAGAACGAACGCUGGCGGCAGGCUUAACACAUGCAAGUCGAGCGAUCGCAGCAAUGCGGGAGCGGCAGACGGGUGAGUAACGCGUGGGAACAUACCCUCCGGUUCAGAAUAGCUCAGGGAAACUUGGAUUAAUACCGGAUACGGCCUAGCGGCGAAAGAUUCAUCGCCGGAGGAUUGGCCCGCGUUCGAUUAGCUAGUUGGCGGGGUAACGGCCCACCAAGGCGACGAUCGAUAGCUGGUCUGAGAGGAUGAUCAGCCACAUUGGGACUGAGACACGGCCCAAACUCCUACGGGAGGCAGCAGUGGGGAAUAUUGGACAAUGGGCGCAAGCCUGAUCCAGCCAUGCCGCGUGAGUGAUGACGGCCUUAGGGUUGUAAAGCUCUUUCGCUAGGGACGAUAAUGACGGUACCUAGACAAGAAGCCCCGGCUAACUUCGUGCCAGCAGCCGCGGUAAUACGAAGGGGGCUAGCGUUGUUCGGAAUUACUGGGCGUAAAGCGCGUGUAGGCGGGCGUUUAAGUCAGGGGUGAAAUGCCAAGGCUCAACCUUGGAACUGCCUUUGAUACUGAAUGUCUUGAGUCCGGGAGAGGUGAGUGGAACUGCGAGUGUAGAGGUGAAAUUCGUAGAUAUUCGCAAGAACACCAGUGGCGAAGGCGGCUCACUGGCCCGGAACUGACGCUGAGACGCGAAAGCGUGGGGAGCAAACAGGAUUAGAUACCCUGGUAGUCCACGCUGUAAACGAUGGAUGCUAGCCGUUGGGGAGCUUGCUCUUCAGUGGCGCAGCUAACGCUUUAAGCAUCCCGC